CUCGGAGUUUGAUCCUGGCUCAGAUUGAACGCUGGCGGAAUGCUUUACACAUGCAAGUCGAACGGUAGAGGGGGCAACCCCUUGAGAGUGGCGAAUGGGUGAGUAAUAUAUCGGAACGUGCCCAGUCGUGGGGGAUAACGUAGCGAAAGUUACGCUAAUACCGCAUACGAUCUAAGGAUGAAAGCGGGGGAUCGCAAGACCUCGCGCGACUGGAGCGGCCGAUAUCAGAUUAGGUAGUUGGUGGGGUAAAGGCUCACCAAGCCGACGAUCUGUAGCUGGUCUGAGAGGACGACCAGCCACACUGGAACUGAGACACGGCCCAGACUCCUACGGGAGGCAGCAGUGGGGAAUUUUGGACAAUGGACGCAAGUCUGAUCCAGCCCAUUCCCGCGUGCAGGAUGAAGCGUUAUGCGUUGUAAACUGCUUUGUACGGAACGAAAGGUCUCUAUUAAUACUAGGGGGCUCAUGACGGUACUGUAAG
rnacentral:rRNA from 1 species